rnacentral:rRNA from 1 species
GUCCACGCUGUAAACGAUGAGUGCUAGAUAUCGGAGGAAUUUCUUUCGGUUUCGAAGCUAACGCAUUAAGCACUCCGCCUGGGGAGUACGGUCGCAAGAUUAAAACUCAAAGGAAUUGACGGGGGCUCGCACAAGCGGUGGAGCAUGCGGUUUAAUUCGAUGUUACGCGAAAAACCUUACCAACCCUUGACAUGGUGGUCGCGGGAAGCAGAGAUGCAUCCCUUCAGUUCGGCUGGACCACACACAGGUGUUGCAUGGCUGUCGU